AUGCAAAUGUGUGGUGGUGGGAAGAGUAGCGAGCCACGUACCAGACAUCUUAAGGAAACCAGAGCUCUGGUUACUCCUCGAUUUUAACACCUCAUGAGAGGAGCCAAUUAUUUUGGACCAACAAGCUGCCUUUUGUGGAGUUUUGUCUCUGCUUGAAGUCAGAGCCCGUCUGCCAGCACAGAUUCGUGGGGUGCGGGGAGAGGUGAGCCCAGGUGACCAGGUGAGACCAGGUGAGCACGGCGGGGAAGGAGAUGAAGGCUCACCCUCUCGCCAUGCAUGCCUGUGUCCAGCCGUCCUCCUGGACCUGGGAGUCAAGGUCAUGUCACGAAAACAACGGCGGGCUCUGGACCAAGGCUCUGGGGCUGCAGCAACUGAGACGGAGUCUUUGCUCUGCCGAGCACUAGCCGGAUGGCCUCGGGCAGGGGUCCUGACCUCUCUCAGCUUCGUUUCCAUCAUCAGCGAAAUAGAGAUGACCGUGGGUUGGAGGGGAUUGAGCAGGACACUGCGCACAAAAUGCUCAGCCCCGUGGCGUGCACAGAGCGCACAUGGUCAGUAAAUUGACCAUUACAGCGUCAGUCCGUUUCGUAAGCCGUUAGAGGCCGCGCCCUCAGGGAGCCCAGCUGGCUUCUCUCACGGAGCAUCAGGUCCUCGAGGUCCAUCCGCAUCGUAGCAGGGGUCAGUGUUUGGCUGAGGGACAUUCCAUGGCGUGGACGCACCACACCCGGCCCCUCCCGUCACCCUCGCCCCCUUCCUACCCUCCCGCCGCUGUGAGUAGCGGUCAUCGGUUUGGAAAUGGGACAGACUGUUUUCUUGUCUGAUGUCUCUGCUGGACGGGCAGCUUCUCAAGGGCAGCCAAGGGUUCGGUGUUAGGGCUGUUGCCUCCCUCCAGCUCACAGGUUGUACGGGAGAGCGCAUGUGAGCAGGGGGGAGGGGGAAGGAGGGGGGAUGUUGGAGGGGGGAGGGGAGGGGUUCCCAGCUGCCUGCAGAGGCCAUGCAGCCCUGCCCGCACCCACCCUGCUGGUGGGUUCCUCCUGCCUCCCGCAGCUCCCAGCCCAGGCGGUCCUCCCGCCUUCCCUCUGCUCCCUCCCGGGGCACCCGGCACCCUGCAAACGGAGACAGGAAAGGGCAGGUGCCCACCCGCUUGCCCUCGUCACCCGCCAUUCCACCCAUGCAGAAAUCAUUGCGCUGGACUUGGAGGACAGUGGCCACGUGCAGGGGCAGAGAGCGGCUCCCCGAAACUGCAUGAAAUGGAGACAAACGCACUGGAGUUCUCAGGAGGGAGGGUCGUCGCUGUGGUCCUCGUGGUUUGCCAUCUGGACAGGACCCAAGACGGCUGCACCUGUCACCCGAGCUCCUUCAGCCACAGCCAGGGGCUGGUGGGGUGGAGGGGGGCGUCUGACGGCCAGGAAGACCCCAAGGCACGGGACAGUCUCACGCCUGCUCCCGCUGUGUCGGGGCACCAGGAUGGAAAGCCUGACGUGACCGCCGCCCCCUCCCCAGGCGGGAGCCCCUUCCUUUGCACUAACAUGCAGGACAACACGCCGGCCGCCUCCUGGUUGCCGGACCGUGUGAAAAUCACCCCAGCGGCGCGAGGAGUUGUUUGCCCGGGGUUAAUCGUCAGUGUUAAACCUUGCUCGGCGCAGGUUUAAAGCUGAAUUUUCAAUCUCCAUGUCUAAGAAAUCAUUCUCCCACCGCCGCGGGAGAGAACGGAGUUCACGGGUUUAGCCCGUUUCCGGGCCUCUUGACUCAGGGCACUACUAGGCGUGGGCCCAGUGGAGGGGGUCUGCAGCUGCUUCUCUGCUCACUGCUGCGCCCCCCCCCCCCCCCCACUGUACACGAAUCUCAGAAGCAGGACCAAGUGCUGGAACCCGUGGCUGCUGUGGGGGAGUUUCCCUGAAAACAGCGCAAAGCGUCUCUCGUUGCAGCGCUCGGAGGCGGCACAGAAGUCAUCCUCAAAUGUGGGAGAGCAGGAGGGGCGGCGGGCACGAGGAAGCUCCCGAGCCCAGGACUGAAGGGCCACCGUGGGAGGGACGGGGUGGGCGAGGGGCUUCCCCUCGCUGCGAGGGAGGCAGAGACCCCAAGAGCGCACUGGUUCACGUGGCCUUCCUGGGACCCACAGCAGCUUUCUAGGGGUGAGGAGGGGCGGGCGGCCUCUGACCUCCUUUGCUCUUCUUUCCUCCUGUUCCUGAAUCUGCAGCCUGAGCAGGCAGAAGACCCCCCAGAGGGAUACAGGAACGUGCAGAUGAGUCAGGCACAGAAGGAAAGAAUUCAGACAGGCAGGGGCCACCAAAGCCCCCGAAUGCCCCCUUCCUUGUCUUGGAGGAAACAGAGACCCAGAGGGCCAUGGCCUGUCCAGGGGACACAGCUGGGCAGCUCAGGGCUGAAUCCCUGCGUCUGGGCUCCUGCUCUGUGUUUGCCACUCACUGCACCAGCAGCCGUCACACGUACGUGUCACUGACGCUGCGUGUUUCAUAUGCGCACCUGCACCUCGGUGGAGGCCUCUUGUCCCCCAUCAUGUCCACCAGGUUACCAAGAAGAGAUGAUUCAGGAGCAGAGACGGGCUCUCCGGGAAGGGGGUGAGGACCAGCAGGCAGCAGAGAACAAAGGAGGAGGUGCCGCCACCCACCGCGGACCCUCCAGGGUUGGCUGAGCAGGGGUGGGGAGGGGCGAGGGAGGGGAGGGCUGGGGCGGGCGGAGGCCCAGCCCUCCCUUUCCUGCCCUGCCCUUCCCCGGGAGCGCCGGGAUUUCAUAUGCAAAGGUGGAGAGGCGGGCACGAGGCGCCGCGCGCGGCUCGCGUGUUUCAAACAAAGAAUUUACAACAAAGGGCCGGCGGCCGCGGGGUUUGUCAGAAUUCAGCGAUGGGGAAGAUUUAUCUAAGCCGAGCGGAGGGGCCUGUGACCUUGAACAGGCGGUGGUUGAAGACGGAACAAAGAGCGGCUUGUGAUUAUCGUUAUUUAAUAUCAUGGCCUGAAACUGUCGGGAGGGGGAAUUAGGUGGCACAAGAGAAUUGUUUUUUAUUCCAGGAGAUGUAAGGGAGAUGUAGUGGAGGGGAAAACGCUGGGGCCGGAGGGAGAGGCGGGGAGAUGGGGGGGCGGGGCGGGGAGCGCACCCGGGAGGGGCGGGGAUCGCCGGGAGCCGCCCCCUCCCUCGGAGGCGGGUCCGGCCUCAGCCCCAGCAGGUGUAUCAGGGAAGGCGGGGCCCUCCGGGCAAGGGGCUGGCAGAAGGUGGCCUGUCCUGGAUGCAGUGGGAAUCCGGGGGUGGGGGGCGCUGCGCUGCCAGCAACCCCAGACCGGGUGUCCAGGGCUGCCAGGAAACCUGGACACACGCCCUCAAGGAAGCAUGGCCUGCAGGAGGGGUGCGUGAGGGGCCUGGGGGGCUCCGAGGACCAGGGUGUGGAAGGGAGCAGAGAGCUGCGGGGUCCUCUCAUCAGGCCCCCCAGGAAGAGGGCGGUGCCCCUCACACAGGCGUCUGAUCCCGGGAAGUGUGCUCUUCUGGGCGGUGGCACACGGGGGUGACUGCGGGCUCAGGAGGAGGUGGCUGGCUGGGCUGCCUGGCUGCCAAGACCGGAGCCGAGAGCCAUGUGAGCCCGCGAUGGGCCCCAGGUUGGGCCAGACCCAUGCCAGCUGUCCGGCUUCCCGGGGUCCGAGCAGGACACCUGCCUUCUCUCUGGGCACAUCGGCUUCUGGUCCUUCGGGCUGCCCUCUUCUAGCAAUGCCCCCUCUCCUGGGUUGCCCAAGUUCCAGAUCCAACUAAUGCGAGGGAUGGGCUCAACCAGGUGUCCUCACAACACACCCAAAGCAGAAGGACUGUGCUUCCCCCCAGAAUGUGCCAGAAGCCUGUGCCAGCUGUCUGGGGACUCUGUAGAGCUUUAGAGCCGGGGUUGGGGGAGCAGAGCAGGAGCAGCUCCGUCCUGGAGCCACAAGGGACCCCCGUCGCCUGCCCCGGGCCAGCCGGCCACAGCACGUUUCCACUGGAAAGAUUUUCCUCAUUUCACACUAGCUGCUCGGGCCACAGGCCAACUCAGACCCCCGAGACCAGGGAAGCAGAGAGAUGACAAGUUUCCGAGUCAGGCUGGAGGGGAACGAGGCAGGAAAGAGGCUUCCGGUGUGUCGAGGGCACAUCCCAGUGGUGGGGGCCAGGGGGCCCUCUGGGGAGGCACCGCACAGAAGAGGGACCGUCCUUGUCCAGGAACUCGGAGGCAGGGAUUCCCAAGCCUGGCUGCACACCCGGGCAGCUCAGGGCCCCACCCCGAACCUACCAAAAACCCUGGAAUGGGGGCCUUGUGUCCGUGUCUUAGCAGGUGCUCAGGAAACUCAUGCUCCCAGCACAGGGCUGGGCCAAGGGUCGAUCCUGGAGGAGGCAGGGUACUCGGCUCCACCAGACGGUGUCCGACCCCGGACAACCCCGCGGGCCGCUGCCCUUGCCGUCGGGCUCAUCUCUGGGCGGCAGGAGAGGCUGGGAAGCCUUGGAUGGGAAGAGACAACAGUUUCCACUUGACCUCCCUCAACUGUAGACGUGCCCCGCCCAGGAAGUCCGUCCGUGGGAAGCCCUCGGUAGUCCGAGAGGCCGCCGGGGAAUAUGGCUGGGCCCCUGGGGACCUGGUCAAAGGCUAAGAUGUUUCUAGUUGACAAAACGGAAGCUUCAACGUAUUCCAUGGUCUGCUUUCCAUUCUCAGUCACUUCUCUACUUAAGACUCUGAUGGAUGGAAAGUGGUCCCUUAGCAAACACUCAGUUCUGCGUCUGGACCCCUCGCUCCUUCUCUGCGGCGGAGGAGCCGCGGGGUCUGGUGCUCGGGGAUCCUGGGUGAAGCCCUCCGCUCGGCCGCCACGCAGCUGCUGCCGGCCGGACCCGGGCGCGGCGUCCUCUUCCCCCUCGCUUCACGUCAUUACCAAGAGAUGAUGCAGAUCUGGAAGCAGGAGCCCUUUGGCUCUGGAAAAAUUAUGUGUGACACUUUACAUGUGGAUCAGCUCGCUGCAGACCGCGGGGCCCCGGCUCCCCCGGGGCUGACCAGCUAGAGCGCCCAGGCAGCCCGCCCACCAGUCCCGGGGCCCCAGGCUGCUGGUAAAGGUGCGGGCGGUGGACGGGCACCCCGAGAAGGCGAGAAGAUGGGAAGGUGCUUAGCGGCCUCUCUGCGGGAGUGGAGCUGCCCCUGACCAUGGCCGAGAGGACCGAGAGCUCCUGGUUCAGCCCACGCAGCUGUCACAUUCCUGGUGACUGUCAGCCCUUCCACUGUCAGCCGGGGCCCUUGGGGUCCCUGAGAUUGUCCCCAUUUCUGCUCACUUCUGACUCAUAUCCACGUGCGCAUUCAACGUGUCCACACGGAUGGGACCUCAAAGUCAAGGCAAACUUAGCCUCUUCCUAUUUUAACCUGCGUCUGCCUCUGUCCUUCCAUGCCCAGACCGGAGGCUCAGAGUCAUGCUCACCCCCCUUCCUGAUGCAUCCUUAAUCCGGCGCCGCUUGUCCCGACCGGGGACAGGCAGAGGGGGAUAGAGUCUCGGAGACACGGGGAAGGACACUGCGGGACCACAGAGGCCGCGUCCGGAGGCAGCCCUGAGGCAGUAACAUCCCGAGGCAGCAGGAGCUGGACGAGGCAAGAAAGACCCUCCCCUCGAGCCUUCAGAGGGAGCACGGCUUUGCUGACACAAUGAGUGCAGACUCUGGCCUCCAGAACUGUGCAGGAAUAAACUGCUGUAGCUUUAAGCUCCCCAGGUUGUGGUAACGCGUAUGGCAGCACGAGGCACCGGAUGCGAUCAGCUUAGGACCCGGGGAAUGGCAUGAUGACUGUAAUAUUUGCCACCAUUCGCUGAGAUGAAUGUCCUUGAACUCAACAAGGAGGGAAGUGCUGCUGUCCCAUUUCCUGGAUGAGGAAGCUGAGGCCCAGCCAGUUUGCACCACCUUGAAAGCCCUCCUCCGGGAAGAGGGUGCCUGGCCCGAGUCCGGGGGCAGCUGCUUGGGAUCUCCUGCUCACAUCUGUGGGCUCCGGCGUUCGCCAGAUGUUCACUCCAGCUUGCCCUGCAAGCCAGACGGCCCUGUGGAGACCCACGGUGUAGGGCGCUGCUCUCUGACUUCGGGUCCAGGAGCCAAGCUCUGCAGCCCAGCCCUGGGGCCCGCGACCCUGGGCCAGUGGCUCGGGCAGCUGCAGGGAAGGGUGGGCCUUCUCCUUCCUGUCUGUCCUACCGGCCUUUCCCCACCUGUCCUGACCCCAGCUGCUUGAGAUGGACAGACGGACAGCUGAUUCCCAGCCUCCCCUGUUUGGGCAUCUUCUUUGCCGCUCUCAGUGGCUACCCUGCACAGAAGCAAAGAUAAAAUUGGUUUUAUUUAUUU